UGUGUUGAUCAGGUUUCCCAGCCAGAAGAACGUGGGAGCUAACAUAGGCUACGAGUUCCGACCCAACAAGGACACAUCCUUUUCCUUGAAUGCUGAACACAGCCGUGGUAGUGGUGGCAGGUCCAACAGUUUUGGUGCUCGUUUUCAACACUUUUUCUGAAUAUAAGGCAUCACACGAUGGGAUAAUGAACAUCGGAACCUCCAACACUUCACUACUGGACAACCACAAGAUUUUCAGUAUCACUGAGGGAAUGUAAUGUACACAUUACGCUAAGAUUUAUUCUAAUAAACAUUUUUCAAAAUUAAA